rnacentral:misc_RNA from 1 species
UAACCCCUCGCCCCGACCGGUGUCACAGCCGGGCGGGUUGCGGAUGUGGACGCUGCCGUCGUCGGCUCGUCUCGAAAUGCAUUAGCUGGAGCGGCCUCCCGCGUCGGCCUCGGUGUGAUAUUUCUUUGCGCCGUCACACGACACGUCUGUGCUGCUUUGCUCCGAACCCCGCGUUCGCCACGCGGAACGUAAUCAAA